UGUACCCACGCCUGCCAAAGGGCCAACCAGCUUCCCAUCCCUUCUCCCUUUCCUUGUCUGUAAGAGUCAGGGAGAAGUGCUUAAAGGCACCACAGCAGUGUGAAGCCCUGCUGUGCAAGAUCUGGUUUUUCUCAGCAAGGCCUCCUAGAUCACAGCCCUCUGGAAGCUGCUGGAUGAUCACAACCUCCUGACAAUGGGAAACCUGGUAGCAUCUCGUUCUCCAGCUGCACACAGCUCUUAGUUUUACUAACAAGCCAUCAAGGAAAAGGCUUGAACUGUGGGUGAGCCAUGUUGGGAGCCUCCUGGAGAAGGGAAAAGUGUCCCAGCCGGACUUGCAGUGCUGCAGCAGCAUGAGCUCAGUGGUGCUCCUCAAGAUUCACUGAGAUGCUUGCUUAUCCUGCCACCCAAGCCCUGCAUGUUGCAGUUGGAAGGCACCCCUUCUGGCUUAGGGGUGCUGCCAAGAGUGGCUGCAUUAUCAAAAAAGUUCUCAUUGCAGCAGGCUUUACAAGAAAGAGUCAGCCUGGGGCAUUGGGAGUGGGGAUAGAAAGAAGAAAGACUUGCAGCAUUCUUUUAUUAAUGAAGUUAUUUUAAAAUGUUAAAAAGUUUCUAACAUAAAAAAGGCCACUGGGUAGGAUUGGCCAAAACCAACAUGAUAAUGUAACAGGAACCCAUCUGCCUUGUUUUAUGGCCUCCUGCCCUCCACCCUGAGCAGACAAAGGCCAACAACCAGCCUCAUGUCCAGAGGUCACAAUUUGCAGAGCAAAGGGAUUUGGCAGAAAAUGUGUUGCAGAGUAACUUUGUAUAACAGGAACUUUUUUAAUUAGGGGAUGGGGGGGAAGGGAUGUUAUAAAGUAAGAACUUUCAUGACUCUAAUGUGUACAUCUAAACCCAAACCUGGCUUUACCCAAGGGCUGGAGGUGUCAGGUAUUACCUGACACGAGCUGACGUUGCUGAUGGUUGUUCCUCUCCUCUGACACAGAUAUUUUUUAUGUUUUAGCUGGACAAAGGAGCCCAGAGAGCUGGGGUGAGCGACAUGCUUGGGAUGUUCCGGUCCUUCCCCGCGCAGGGAAGGGGCAGAGCCGGCGGCGGUGCGGAGAGCCCGUGCCGCGGUGUUUGCUGACAGCAGAGGGGGGUAUUGGGCCGCUUUUCCUCCGCAUCCCGGGCGGAGCUCGGGCAGCCGCCGGCGGAGCCUGGACCCCGCACCGCCCCCCGGGCCUCCGCGGGGCUCCCGAAGCUCUGCUCCCCGGCCUCUUUCCGGACACACGGGAUGGAGCGGAGACACUCCCGGGCCCGUCAGUCUGGUCGGCUCGUGUCGUGUGUCGGGAGGGGUGCGCGGGUGAAGCGGAGGGGUGGGCGCAGCAGCCCCGUGCCGGGAGGGGGGUCUGCGGAGUUUCCUUGCCCGCUCCUCGUCUCGAGGUUUCGGGUGGGAGAGGAGGGUCUCUCCUAGCCAACUUCUGCGCCCCAGGGCUGCUCCCGCGCCAUGUCAGAGCAAAGCCCCUCCGUGGGCAGCACACCUCACACUUGAAGGGUGUGCCCCGAUGGGUCUUGGCGAUGGGUGGAAGUUCACUUCCACCACACAGCUGGAAGUGCUGAGCUCUGUGGGGCCUUGGACUGAAGCCUCUGACACUCACUGGCCAGAGGUAAAUCACAGAACCAUAGGAUGGUUUGGGUUGGAAGGAACCUUAAAAAUCUCCUGGUUCCAAACUCCUGCCAUGGGCAGGGACACCUUCCACUAGAUCAGGUUGCUCAAAGCCCCAUCCAACCUGGCCUUGAACACUUCCAGUGAUGGAGCAUCCAUAACUUAUCUGGGCAACCUGUUCCAGUGCCUCACCACCCUCUGAGUAAAGAACUCCUUCCUAACACCUAAUCUAAAUCUCUCCUCUUUUAAUUUAAAACUGUUCCCCCUUGUUCUAUUACUAUCUGCCCAUGUGAAAACUAGUUCUCCUUCUUUUAUAUAAGCCCCCUUUAAUUACUGGAAGGUGCUCUAAGAUCUCCCCAGAGUCAUCUCUUCCCCAGGUUGAACAACUCCAGCUCUCUCAGCCUGUCCUCGUAGAACAGGUGCUCCAGCCCUCUGAUCACCUCUGUGGUGGCCCAGUUGUGUAGCUGGUCCCCAUGAAAUGGUGGAUUUAAUGGCAAAAGGAGACCCUGCGGGGUAAGAGUACACCUUUUAUAAUUUGGUUUGGCUCCUGGGGAUGAAAGGUAUUCUGUGAAGCUAAAAUAUUAAAGCUACCCUGGAUUAUUCAUUAAGCAUCAAUUAUCAUCAUCACAUUUACUGUCAGAUGUUUCAACGUUGCUAUUCUGCUUUAGGAAGGAACAUAUUUUUAGGCUGGUUUCCUAAGGAAAGGUGUUCUUGGGGUCAGUUGCACAGUCUGCUUGUCUGCCUGUCCUCACAGAUUUGGUGAGGAUAUUUCGGCCAAAGUUUACAGCAGGCUGGAAGUCUCCAAAAUAUUACAUUGUUGCAGAUUAAUUAGCAAAGGGGAUGGUGGGGUUGUCCCCCAGACCCAGCUAGUGCUGUGGGUGCAGGAAAGGCAAGCCCCUGAUGGGGUGGGCAUGGAUGGUCCUGGCUGCAGAAGAAGCUUCAGGCAUGGCAGCAUUGCCACCAACACUGGGAAGCUCAGCCAUAGGACACAACACCAUGGGAGAUUGGGCUUCCCUAACUCUGCUGCCCACUGAAAUAAUUUACAUAAAUACCUGUCCGGUAUGAACUGGCUUCUUAUUCCACGUUCUUUCUACUCCUUCUGCUUCCCCUUGUUUGUAUUUUUAUAGCAUUACAAAGUUGGAACAAGCUUUGGUUUAACAAUAAAGGCAGCCUCAUCUGGAAAACAGGAUGUUCCAAAAUAAGAUCUAAUUUUCCUUUGUGAGAACCUAAGGCAAAAGUAAAUUGAUAUCCACUUUAAAGGUAAACACAAACAAGGACUUAUUAUUUAUCAUUAAAACAUCUUAAAAAGGCUCUAGAGCCCUAAAAGCAAAAGUUUGAUGCUGUAUAAAAGAAUUAUGUUUCUGAGAUGUAUCAGUUCAAUAAUUAAAACAGCAUCUAUGAAAUAUAAAUGUAAGAUAUUAAUAAAUUAAAUUAAAUUAAAGCCACAGAAAGCCAAUUAUCUUGUAAAAUAUCUCUGAUAGCUAAACUAAUGAGAUGUAGAAAGAUUAAUUUAGAUCCCCAUUUUAGGAGGUGAUUAUAAAUUGCUGUAAUGCCACAUCCAGUUACUAGGUUGUUAUUGAAACUUGUGAAAUACAUUUGGAAAGGUUUUUAAAUAUUCAGAAUGAAGUAGAAAUUAGAAAGGAGUUAGAAAUAAUUAAAAAUUAGCUGUCUUGUCACAUUGCAGCUUUAAUCCUAUUACCUCUUCUAGUUUACAAAGCUUCAGAUGUCUUUCAAAGCAUUGAUCUGUGGGGAUGGUGGGGUUUAUGAGCAGGGAUUUAUGUGUUUUAAUAACUGCAGGACUCCAAAUAUUUCUCCUCAUUUCACUUAUUUGAGGGAUUCUUUCUAUGUAGAAUUAUCACCCUUGCUGCCAGCUCUGCCUGAUGGUUUCCUUUGGCCAUAGGGUAGGUCAAGCCAUCACCCAUGGUCCCAUAGAGCCCCCAGAGACCCACUGCUCUCCUUUCAGCUCCUGGUGAAAAUGCUGAGGAGCAUCAGUGAUGGUCUUUUUGGUCAGGGCAAAGCACAAGGCCUUCGCUCCUCAAUUCCUAUGGCUGUUGUAGCAAAGCACAGGGCUCUUGUGGCACACAGAAGGAUGAUGGUGCAAUGCAUGCCUAGAGCCCACGAACUUUGGUCUUGCCAUUGCCAGAGGCUGGCCACGAGGUUGGCCAAAAAACCAAAAGGCUGGGGUUUGGGAACCAAACCCCUGGGGUGCACAAGGUUUGCCAACCUUGUUUUGGUUGGGACUUGCCUCAUUUUUUGCAAGAUGUACCAUUUUUGCGAGAGCUUUGUAGCUGUAACAGCAAUUGCCAAACAACUCAGGGACCUCACUGAUCUGCACUCAGGUUCUGCUUCACCCAGUCCACGGGGUGCUGAAGGACCUCCAGCAGCACGGCUUGGCUGUAGUUUUGCAGCACAGGAGGAAAAACGCAGGCAGGGGAGGGCGGUGGGGCCUUGAACCCCCUGGCACAGGGUGAUACCGGCAGCCCCAGCGCUGUGAACUACUCCCCCAAGGGCAGCUGCUGCAUCAACAGAGAAACACGGCCUUGGAGCUGGGAAACACCACUCAUGGGCAGCCAGGAGGGUGAGGAGCAGUUCUGCCAGGCGUGCACAGCUCUGCCUGGAGGAUCAAUGUGGAUGUAACCAGCUCUGGGGACCGAGGAGCACAGUGAAGGGAGCCUUAAAGACAGGGUACAGAGAACCCCCAGGUGGGCUCUAGCAGAGGAAGAAGCAGAAUUCCACCACCACAACCACCCCGGAGAGGCAGACAGAGGGGUUCCAUCAGCUGCAUUGCGCUGCUUGGAGGUGAAGGACCGGGUCACAACGCCUGCAGCCAUCCUCGGGCAUCGGAGGGGUGAGCAUAAACCGGGGAAAGUUGUAGCCCCUAAGGGAGGGGGUGGGCUUGAUACUGAUACGGGAUUAUUUUCCCCUUUUAUCUCCUUUAUCCCUAAUAGUCUAGAUAAUAUCAUCCAGCAUUGUAAGUGGAUUGAUUAGCACUCUUUGAUCAGGCUGUUAAGACUCUGAAGUAGUCAAACAGCAGAUUCUCCCAUGUAAGGCGUGUUUCUCUGGCCCACAUAAAGGCACAAGCUGUGGUGCACAGAACUAGUGGAGAAGGCAGCAGCCCUCCUGGGAGCCCUUAUGGCAUUUUUGUGAGCAGCACUUCUGGGACAGCCUUUUUUGGGUGCCAUCCUGUGGCAGUCAGGGACAACUAGCAACAACACUACUCUGUGUCCACAUACCCUCAAGUGUCGUGCUGAAAGCAUAGCACCCAGUUUUGGGACCAACACAGGUAGCCCUUUAAAGACUUGUUGAAAAUACUGAAGUGGGAAAUCCAGCAGGUUUGAAAGCCUUCUUCCUUUUGCCUAGAGAGAACAAAUGCUCAAAGAAUGCCUCUAAGCAUCCAUGGACAGAGGAAUGAAAGCCCUCUGCCUUGCCUGGGAGAAGAGCUAAAUUAGAAAUCCCUGCUUGGGAGAUUUCUUCAUUGAGAAAACCUUCUGGAGGGAAGAAUUACUCUAGAAAAACAACAGAGGAGCAAGUCCAAAUUUGGGUGAGCCUCUGCUAUCUUCUCUCAGCCUGCUUGAGUUGUAAUUUGUAAUCAGACCUUUCUGUAAAGUCAAAAAUACCUUUAGAGGAGACAAAAAGAUGUCAGAGCUGGCAAACUGGGUUGUUCAGUGGGGACCAAACCCCUGGGGUCCAAACUCUUGCAAAAGUAUCCAGCAGGCUAACCUAGAGUUUGCCAAAUUAAAAGAGAUGGCCAAGACUAAGCUCUUCUCCCGAAAAUCCUUAAAAUGUGCAGGAGCGUGGGCUGUGUGGUUAGUUGCCGAAAGUUUAGCUGAAGAAAAACAGGCAGCCCAGGUAGAAAUUCAGAAGCUAAGGGAGGAAAACAAGACACUGAAAGCAGAAAUAAAGGCUCAGAGACUUAAACUAGAGGAGGGUAUAACUCGAGAAGGAGCUGUGGCUAUGGAGCAAGUGCGAAGUGUUCUCCAGUAUCAAGAGGUGUGUGAACAAAAAAAGGCCAUUUUGAAUGAAAAUCAGGCAUUGAAGGAAAAGCUAGCCAUCAGUACAAAAGCUGUAGAGGAGGUGCAAGGAACAAUCCGAUUGCUGGUGCAAAAAAUACAGAUCCUAAAAGAGAAGAGUACAGACCACCGGGCCUGCGAGGCCAAGAUGGAAAAGUUAAAAGCAGCGUUAGAGGCGAAGCAUGUCACAGUCAUGGCCCUUAAAAAAACACCCUACCAAAGAGAUGAUGAGCUCUGGGAUGGAAAAAGAUGGGUUAAUCCAGUUGGCAGCCCCUCUGUAGAGGAGCGUAAGCCUGAGAGCCCACAGUCUCUAGUUUUUGAGAUGCCAGAAAGGUUUAAAGCAAACCCCCUUUUGCUGAGCAGUGCUCUGGUGGCUGUGAAAAGGGAAAGCGAGGGAAAUGUGCAGCCACGGGCAGAACAAGUUAUUACAGAGGGAACAACCACUGCUGACCUGGCUCCUCGCCAGUUCAAACCUGGGAGCACCCAGGGAAGGAGACAGCAGUUGGCAAGGAGUGUCUGGGCAAGGGAUGACAGAGGGAUGUCUAGGGGAAGGGGCAGCAGAGGAAAGGAAAACUCCAGGGAGAUGGGGGACCCAGAGGUGCUGCAGACCACCACCUCUGCUGGUGCGACCUCCCAGAUCUCCUUCUCGGGAAAAGGGAGGAAAGGAAGGUGGCAGGGCACGAGACAGUGGCAGUGCGGUGCAGCUCCCCGAUUUGUGGUACAAAAUACCGUGGCCAGGAGGGAGUUAAGCACGAUGCGAGUGGACAUAUGGAGGCAGCUUCGGAACCACGGGGAGGACAUGGCCCGCUGGGAUAACGCUCCCACCAGAGUUUUGUUGGAUCGCCUGCUGGAGAUCAGCGGGAGAAGAGAGGGAAGCGAGCCAGGACCCCCCCCCUCCCCAUCAUAGCCUAGGACAGACAGUCCCCCUCUUCCCCGGGCUCGUGGUCAGACCAACACCAGACCACUGGGGAAGGCUCCCAUGCGGGGAGCGAUGGGGGAUCAGAAGCAGAGCCCUCGAGGUAUCAUCCCCAUCACACGCAAAACUGGGGCACCAGCUGCAAGCUGCAGCUGAUGCAAACUGAGAAGGCUCCUCUGAUGGAGGAAACGCAGGGGGAGUGAAGCAUUAAGGGGUUUUUGGUUUGCUUAUUUUUACAGAAGAAACACAGAGGGAGAAUUUGACUUUUCCAGCAAGAGCAGUCAGGGCUGCAGUGAGCAGAGACUGCUUUAGCUCUGUCACAGCCAUCCUGGCACCUGCUUCGCUGCACAGAGUCCAGGCAGAGAUACCAAAUGCUGCUCAGGCCAAGUUAGCAGAAGCUGUUUUGGGAAAAAAGAAGGCUUUAAGGACUGAUAAAACACUGACAUGAGUUCAGGCUGUGAUACCAGCUGGGCUGCAGCGUUUGUGAGCAAUGAUGUCCAGCAGCAGGACUGAGAAUGAACUCUAAGUAUGAAGGGCUGUGCGAGGAAGGUUACAGGAGUCCCAAGCAUGGUAUAAACCCUGAGGGUGAAGCAAGAAGAAAAGAAUAACAUCUUCUUUCUGAGUCUCCUGUAGAAAAUCCAGAAGGGUUUGGACUUAUAAAAAGAAAAACUCCCCCCAUUUUAAAAAAUAAUUCCUGCCUAAUGUCAGAGGUGAAGAAAUCAAGAGGUACAAGCAGAGCAAAUUCAAGAACUGCCAACACAAAUGAAGAAGUUCAUGUUUAGCAUUAGUAUUGUUAAAUUCAGUAGUGUGUUUUCACAUAGCAUGUGGAAGUACAUGCAGCAAAGAAAUU